rnacentral:lncRNA from 1 species
GUUACCGACCCCGCGCCGCCCGCGGCCCGCGCGCCCCUUCCCGGACAGUUCCUCUCGGCGCCCCCGAGUCCUCCCCGCGCGCCGCUUCCCGGGUGGGCCCUUCCACCAGAACCCCCUGGUAGAUCCUCCCCUGGUGCCCUGGGGGUAGAGGGGAGAUCCUCCACAAGGGCCAUUUCCCUGGUGAUCCCUCCCUGUGCCCCACAGGUGAGUCCUGCCGUAGCUCUCCAGGGGUUCCUCCUGAUGCUGGGGUCCUCCGGCAUUCCUCCCUGAGCCCCCCAAGGGCCCUGAAGCUCAGCGGCCCAGCCCUGGCCUCGGGGUCCCCACCCCACACCUCCCUUCCAGGCCUAACCUUUGCCCCCGACACCAGGCAGGGCGUGUCCUUGGCCUUCGCCGCCCAGCCCGCGUGGCAUCUCUGGACAGGUGGUCGUGCGCGCCUUGGUGUGGGCAGGCUCCGUAGCCGGCAAAGCCUCCCUGAACCGUGACCUGGUGAGAAGGCCGCAGAGGAGGUGCCUGUGCCCAGAGGCCACCUCCAAAGACCCCACCUGAGGCUGGAACCCAGCGCCUGCUGACCCCGCCAGCCCCAACAGGGCUGGAGUCCAGGAGCGGCCGUGCUCUUUCCGCAGUGAGGCAGCUGCCUUCUCUUCCCACCACCUGUCAGGAUGCCUUCCCGUGUGUGCUUGUGCACAGGUCUAAGGAGAGGAGAGUCCAGUGAGUGACCCAGACGCCCCAGCCAGGAAGAGCAUGAGGAAAGCAAAGCUGCAGCCUGAGAUCUCCUUCCACCAACUCCUGGCAUGGCCAGAAAGUUAGCCAGAAACACCAGAAAGUGCCAGGCAGCUAGGAAGCAUGGGGAGAGCCCCCUGAAGCUGCGUGUGUAGUGCCUGCUUCCGCUGCCAUCCCAGAAAUGGACGAGCUUCACCCUGAGAACCCAGCCACACCACUGGGACACAUCCUGACAGUGACAUGCACACUCUUCCCUGGCCCCAGCCUGGAGAGGAGCCUCCUGAAGACACCAGCCUUUGCUCCUUCUCCCAGUGGGAGUGGAGAGAACUGACUGCUGGAGUGGAGACAGUCAAGGCUGUCCUUCUGAGGGAGCACAGCACAGGGUCUGGUGUCCCAGGGAGGCAAUCUGAAAUUCAAGCCAGGCCUCCCCAGCGGAGAGGACACACCCCUCACCAUGCAGAGUGACGUUUAGUAAACUCUCAAAAGAGAGCACAGAGCCCCACUCCUCCAGCCGACCCAUACUCUGCCUCCCCACUCCAGACCAGUGAACAAGGUGGAUUGCCCUUAAGCCAGCUCAGAGGCAAAGUCCAAAGACCUCAGGUGAGUCAAACAAUAAAAACAAAGAAUUAAGAAGAAUCCAGCUGGGUGCGGUGGCUCACGCCUGUAAUCCCAGCACUUUGGGAGGCUGAGGCGGGAGGAUCACGAGCAGGAGGUCGAGACCAUCCUGGCUAACACGGUGAAACCCCGUCUCUACU